rnacentral:rRNA from 1 species
UAAUACGUAGGGCGCAAGCGUUGUCCGGAAUUAUUGGGCGUAAAGAGCUCGUAGGCGGCUUGUUGCGUCGGUUGUGAAAGCCCGGGGCUUAACCCCGGGUCUGCAGUCGAUACGGGCAGGCUAGAGUGUGGUAGGGGAGAUCGGAAUUCCUGGUGUAGCGGUGAAAUGCGCAGAUAUCAGGAGGAACACCGGUGGCGAAGGCGGAUCUCUGGGCCAUUACUGACGCUGAGGAGCGAAAGCGUGGGGAGCGAACAGGAUUAGAUACCCUGGUAGUCCACGCCGUAAACGUUGGGAACUAGGUGUUGGCGACAUUCCACGUCGUCGGUGCCGCAGCUAACGCAUUAAGUUCCCCGCCUGGGGAGUACGGCCGCAAGGCU